UCUGACUCUGCGUGGGACGGACGGCGCGCCCCACGGGAGCAGGACGUACAUCGUGCACAUGAAGAGGAACACCUCCCAUCACAGCGUUCUUGAUAAAUCCGCUUGUUACGUUGGGAUGAUGCAAAGAGCCACGGAGGUCCUUGCAGAGGGCCACCCCGACGACGGCAUGGACUGCCUCCACCACGUCUACGACCACGUCUUGGACGGGUUUUCGGCCAGGCUGACGC
rnacentral:lncRNA from 1 species